rnacentral:lncRNA from 1 species
UGACAAAGACAAAUAUGAUCCAGUGACCAUGCCAGGUGUGUAUGAAAUUGCGGCCUUUGACAAUGAUAUACGGCAAAUACAUCGGUUACACUGCAAAGUCACUCAAUAAGAGGGUAAAAGAACAUAGAAAAGACAUUGAAAACUCGGCAACAACAACAGCAGCAUUGGUGCAAAAAGCGCUAACCACAGAUUUAACUGUCAAGACAACAGCAUUGGUGCAAAGAGUGCUAACCACAGAUUUAACUGUCAAAUGGGAAGAAGCCAGGUUGGUAAGAAAAUAGGACGACCCCAGGAAAGGAAAGAUUGCCGAAACAAUCGCAAUCUAUAACAGCAGAAACGCUAACCCGAGGCCUAUGAACAAGUUAGACCCAGCAUCAAUUAAUAACGCCUGGAAAUCGUGC